CAGCCGCCACGGUAAUACGUAGGUGGCAAGCGUUGUCCGGAAUUAUUGGGCGUAAAGGGCCCGCAGGCGGUUUCUUAAGUCUGAUGUGAAAGCCCCCGGCUCAACCGGGGAGGGUCAUUGGAAACUGGGAAACUUGAGUGCAGAAGAGGAGAGUGGAAUUCCACGUAUAGCGGUGAAAUGCGUAGAGAUGUGGAGGAACACCAGUGGCGAAGGCGACUCUCUGGUCUGUAACUGACGCUGAGGAGCGAAAGCUAGGGGAGCAAAUGGGAUUAGAUACCCCUGUAGUCCCUGUCUCUUAUAC
rnacentral:rRNA from 1 species